GUGUCAGCAGCCGCGGUAAUACGGAGGGUGCGAGCGUUGUCCGGAAUCACUGGGCGUAAAGGGCGCGUAGGUGGCCUGUGGAAGUCUGCGGUGAAAGCCCGGCGCUCAACGCCGGGUCGGCCGUGGAUACUCUCGGGCUUGAGCUUACUAGAGGCAGAUGGAAUUCCGGGUGUAGCGGUGGAAUGCGUAGAGAUCCGGAAGAACACCGGUGGCGAAGGCGGUCUGCUGGGGUAAUGCUGACACUGAUGCGCGACAGCGUGGGGAGCAAACAGGAUUAGAAACCCCCGUAGUCC
rnacentral:rRNA from 1 species